GCGUCAGUAGUGCAGCGGGUUAGAGCACGCGCUCCCAGAAAGAGUGUGGUGCAGGUUCUAGUCCUUCCUGACGCG